UACAGAGGUCUCAAGCGUUGUUCGGAUUCAUUGGGCGUAAAGGGUGCGUAGGUGGCGCUGUAAGUCGGGUGUGAAAUUUCGGAGCUUAACUCCGAAACUGCAUUCGAUACUGCGGUGCUUGAGGACUGGAGAGGAGACUGGAAUUCAUGGUGUAGCAGUGAAAUUCGUAGAUAUUAGGAAGAACACCAGUGGCGAAGGCGGCUCACUGGCCCGGUACUGACGCUGAGGCGCGAAAGCGUGGGGAGCAAACAGG
rnacentral:rRNA from 1 species